AGAUUCGGGCUGCGCAACCUCUGUGGCCGUCUACACCGCGCGCAGAUGCGAAUAUUCUCGCGGCGCCGGAAGUCCGGAGCACGUGACCUGGUGACAGUGCUGGCUUGGCUGUACAGCUCGAUCUAGGUUCUGCGGCACGGGAUGGCGGAGGCGCCUCCUGUCUCAGGCAAACCAUUUUGUCUUUGUGCUUCAGAGACUGAAUUGACUGUACCAAGAAGCAUCUUCUGGGGGAACAUGAGUGGGUUGAAGGGGAGUAUGCUUAAUUUUUUCCACUUUGGGAUUGUAGACCAUAUUAUAGAGGUUAUGUAUGGAAAACCCAAAAUAUAUUCCUAGGGGAAAGAGAUGAGAACUAAUACACUUAUUAAGUACUAUCUAUGAAAUCAUAUUUAAAUUUCUCAGUAACCGUUGAGAUAAGUAUUGUCGUCCUUUACCAUAGACAAGGAAACUAAGGCUAAAAGCAGGCACGUGAUAUCCCUAAGUUCCUACAAUAAGUUGGACAGGUGGACUUUAACCCAUUUUGGCUUAGUCCAAAGCCUGUUUACUUGAUAUUACACAAUGCUACUUUACUGUUUUGAAAGAAGACCACAUGGAACCUGAUGAUUGAUAUCCCUGAACUGUUAGCUGGCCUUAAAUUUUUGUAAUAAAAUGAAUACAUGUAUACAUAGUACUUUAUGGCCCAGGUGAGCAUUUUUACUCAACAACACUUAGCUGUCAUUGGCUAUUGGUGUUUGGUUUUUGGACAUGGAAUAAUGAUUGAUUAGCCCUCCACAAGCACCUUGAACCCAUCACCUUCACUGGAAACAUAGGUCUCACUUAACAGCAUGUUUUAUACAAAGUUCUAAGGAAAGUAAUUUUUAGAUUUGGCUUGGAGUCUAUGAGUUUCAUGGAUGAAGUUUAAUCUCUUUACUGGCAUGUCUAUUUUUUAUGUCCUAGGUACUUUUAAAUUCAAUACAGAUGCUGCUGAAUUCAUUCCUCAGGAGAAAAAAAAUUCUGGUCUAAAUUGUGGGACUCAAAGGAGACUAGACUCUAAUAGGAUUGGUAGAAGAAAUUACAGUUCACCACCUCCCUGUCACCUUUCCAGGCAGGUCCCUUAUGAUGAAAUCUCUGCUGUUCAUCAGCACAGUUAUCAUCCGUCAGGAAGCAAACCUAAGAGUCAACAGACGUCUUUCCAGUCCUCUCCUUGUAAUAAAUCGCCCAAGAGCCAUGGCCUUCAGAAUCAACCUUGGCAGAAAUUGAGGAAUGAGAAGCACCAUAUCAGAGUCAAGAAAGCGCAGAGUCUUGCUGAGCAGACCUCAGAUACAGCUGGAUUAGAGAGCUCGACCAGAUCAGAGAGUGGGACAGACCUCAGAGAGCAUAGUCCUUCUGAGAGUGAGAAGGAAGUUGUGGGUGCAGAUCCCAGGGGAGCAAAACCCAAAAAAGCAACACAGUUUGUAUACAGCUAUGGUAGAGGACCAAAAGUCAAGGGGAAACUCAAAUGUGAAUGGAGUAACCGAACAACUCCAAAACCGGAGGAUGCUGGACCCGAAAGUACCAAACCUGUGGGGGUUUUCCACCCUGACUCUUCAGAGGCAUCCUCUAGAAAAGGAGUAUUGGAUGGGUAUGGAGCCAGACGAAAUGAGCAGAGAAGAUACCCACAGAAAAGGCCUCCCUGGGAAGUGGAGGGGGCCAGGCCACGACCAGGCAGAAAUCCACCAAAACAGGAGGGCCACCGACAUACAAAUGCAGGACACAGAAACAACAUGGGCCCCAUUCCAAAGGAUGACCUCAAUGAAAGACCAGCAAAAUCUACCUGUGACAGUGAGAACUUGGCAGUCAUCAACAAGUCUUCCAGGAGGGUUGACCAAGAGAAAUGCACUGUACGGAGGCAGGAUCCUCAAGUAGUAUCUCCUUUCUCCCGAGGCAAACAGAACCACGUGCUAAAGAAUGUGGAAACGCACACAGGUUCUCUAAUUGAACAACUAACAACAGAAAAAUACGAGUGCAUGGUGUGCUGUGAAUUGGUUCGUGUCACGGCCCCAGUGUGGAGUUGUCAGAGCUGUUACCAUGUGUUUCAUUUGAACUGCAUAAAGAAAUGGGCAAGGUCUCCAGCAUCUCAAGCAGAUGGCCAGAGUGGUUGGAGGUGCCCUGCCUGUCAGAAUGUUUCUGCACAUGUUCCUAAUACCUACACUUGUUUCUGUGGCAAGGUAAAGAAUCCUGAGUGGAGCAGAAAUGAAAUUCCACAUAGCUGUGGUGAGGUUUGUAGAAAGAAACAGCCUGGCCAGGACUGCCCACAUUCCUGUAACCUUCUCUGCCACCCAGGACCCUGCCCACCCUGCCCUGCCUUUAUGACAAAAACAUGUGAAUGUGGACGAACCAGGCACACAGUUCGCUGUGGUCAGGCUGUCUCAGUCCACUGUUCUAACCCAUGUGAGAAUAUUUUGAACUGUGGUCAGCACCAGUGUGCUGAGCUGUGCCAUGGGGGUCAGUGCCAGCCUUGCCAGAUCAUUUUGAACCAGGUAUGCUAUUGCGGCAGCACCUCCCGAGAUGUGUUAUGUGGAACCGAUGUAGGAAAGUCUGAUGGAUUUGGGGAUUUCAGCUGUUUAAAGAUAUGUGGCAAGGACUUGAAAUGUGGUAACCAUACAUGUUCGCAAGUGUGCCACCCUCAGCCCUGCCAGCAAUGCCCACGGCUCCCCCAGCUGGUGCGCUGUUGCCCCUGUGGCCAAACUCCUCUCAGCCAGUUGCUAGAACUUGGAAGUAGUAGUCGGAAAACAUGCAUGGACCCUGUGCCUUCAUGUGGAAAAGUGUGCGGCAAGCCUCUGCCUUGUGGUUCCUUAGCUCUUUUCGUUUUUAUUAAAGAUUUCAUUCAUACCUGUGAAAAGCUCUGCCAUGAAGGAGACUGUGGACCAUGCUCUCGCACAUCAGUUAUUUCCUGCAGAUGCUCUUUCAGAACAAAGGAGCUUCCAUGUACCAGUCUCAAAAGUGAAGCAGAUGCUACAUUUAUGUGUGACAAGCGGUGUAACAAGAAACGGUUGUGUGGACGGCAUAAAUGUAAUGAGAUAUGCUGUGUGGAUAAGGAGCACAAGUGUCCUUUGAUUUGUGGAAGGAAACUCCGUUGUGGCCUUCAUAGGUGUGAAGAACCUUGUCAUCGUGGAAACUGCCAGACAUGCUGGCAAGCCAGUUUUGAUGAAUUAACCUGCCAUUGUGGUGCAUCAGUGAUUUACCCUCCAGUUCCCUGUGGUACUAGGCCCCCUGAAUGUACCCAAACCUGUGCUAGAGUCCAUGAGUGUGACCAUCCAGUAUAUCAUUCUUGUCAUAGUGAGGAGAAGUGUCCCCCUUGCACUUUCCUAACUCAGAAGUGGUGCAUGGGCAAGCAUGAGUUUCGGAGCAACAUCCCCUGUCACCUGGUUGAUAUCUCUUGCGGAUUACCCUGCAGUGCCACGCUACCAUGUGGGAUGCACAAAUGUCAGAGACUCUGUCACAAAGGGGAGUGUCUUGUGGAUGAGCCCUGCAAGCAGCCCUGCACCACACCCAGAGCUGACUGUGGUCACCCGUGUAUGGCACCCUGCCAUACCAGCUCACCCUGCCCUGUGACUGCUUGUAAAGCUAAGGUAGAGCUACAGUGUGAAUGUGGACGAAGAAAAGAGAUGGUGAUUUGCUCUGAAGCAUCUAGUACUUAUCAAAGAAUAGCUGCAAUUUCCAUGGCCUCUAAGAUAACAGACAUGCAGCUUGGAGGUUCAGUGGAGAUCAGCAAGUUAAUUACCAAAAAGGAAGUUCAUCAAGCCAGGCUGGAGUGUGAUGAGGAGUGUUCAGCCUUGGAAAGGAAAAAGAGAUUAGCAGAGGCAUUUCAUAUCAGUGAGGAUUCUGAUCCUUUCAAUAUACGUUCUUCAGGGUCAAAAUUCAGUGAUAGUUUGAAAGAAGAUGCCAGGAAGGACUUAAAGUUUGUCAGUGACGUUGAGAAGGAAAUGGAAACCCUCGUGGAGGCCGUGAAUAAGGUUGAAGUCGAAACAUCCCACUGGACAUUUCUCUAAGGCCAGCUUGAUGAAAAAAAAAAAAGCAAUCAAGUCCUGGAAACACUUUCAACCUAGAGUAGUUGUAGGAAAAAGUCACAACUUCUUUGAGAAUCCUUAUCUUUCUCAAAACACAGCCAUUAUAACAUCUGUGGAAGCCUGUCCUGGUUCAGGACAGUUGACUGCAGAAAAGAUCUACAGUCUGCUGGGCACGGUGUCUCAUGCCUGUAAUGCCAGCACUUUGGGAGGCCAAGGCAGGCAGAUCACUUGAGGUCAGGAGUUCUAGAUCAGCUUGGCCAACAUGACGAAACCCUGUCUCUACUAAAAAUAUAAAAAUUAGCUGGGUGUGGUGGCGGGCACCUGUUAUUCCAGCUACUUGCAAGGCUUAGGCAGGAGAAUUCCUUGAACCCGGGAGGCAGAGGUUGCUGUGAGCUGAGAUUCUGCCACUGCACUCCAGCCUGGGCAACAAGAGUGAAACUCUGUCUCAAAAAGAAAGAAAGAAAGAAAGAAAGAAAAGAAAGAAAGAAAGAAAGAAAGAAAGAAAGAAAGAAAGAAAGAAAGAAAGAAAGGAAAGAAAGAAAGAAAGAAGGAAGGAAGGAAGGAAGGAAGGAAGGAAGGAAGGAAGAAAGCUCUGCAGUCAGCUGGAAAGAAUAGUAAGAAAAGCCACAGCUUCCCUCCCAUGAACAGAGAUCACCGCCGGAUCAUCCAUGACCUGGCCCAAGUUUAUGGCCUGGAGAGCGUGAGCUAUGACAGUGAACCGAAGCGCAAUGUGGUGGUCACUGCCAUCAGGGGGAAGUCCGUUUGUCCUCCUACCACGCUGACAGGUGUGCUUGAAAGGGAAAUGCAGGCACGGCCUCCACCACCGAUUCCUCAUCACAGACAUCAGUCAGACAAGAAUCCUGGGAGCAGUAAUUUACAGAAAAUAACCAAGGAGCCAAUAAUUGACUAUUUUGACGUCCAGGACUAAGAAGAUCAUGAUGCACUUAGAUAAAAGAAUGAUUAGGUGUAGCGGAGACUUAUUUGCCAGCAGAUAAAUCAUGCCCGUUCCCCUCUGCCUGGCAGAAUCACAGUCUCACAUACUGUCUUGUACUGACACAUCCAAAGCAUGAGUGUGUCAGAAAUCCCUUGUCUAUUCCUGUCUGUAUAAAGUGUUUCAUUAUGACCAGAUCUCUGAUUGUAUGGUCACUAGGUAUGCAAUCACGCAUUCAAAGAGGCUCUUUACACCAUCACUGUGAUUGCUCUGAGAGUUGGGGGACUAUUGGGCUUUAUUUGGACAAACCAAACUUUAAGCCUGAAACCAACUUUAUGCCACUGAGUCAUAGCCUCAGUUGUCCCAGUUAUUUGUCCUCCUGAAAAUGCCUGAAACAUCAGACAGACAUUGCUUGCUUUACCCAAACUGAUCAAAAUCUUUAGGAGCACAAAUGAAUUUUUUAGUCUGAAAUACCAAAUAAUGAAUUGGUAUACCAUAUCUGGAAUCACACACGUUAUCUUAAACACAGCCAUCAUACCUAAGUCUUUUGCCAAAACCUCUCAUAGGUAUAUCUAGCUGAACUUAUUUUGGCAUUUCCCAAUGUGAUCAGUUCUAGACCUAGAAGGGGGUCAGGCUGCUUUACAGAAUUCUAUUUCCUUAAGUCCCUGGCACUUCUCAUACCACAUCACUGAACCUGUUCAGUAACAAUCAGUUUGGCCGUCCCCCAUGAUGGUAGGAAAUAUAGAGAGCAAGUUCUUCUGCCAGGGUCACACUGUGGUCUCUGAACUGACCAGUAUAUCCCUAACUCCUCUUUGAUAGAGAAAGAGUCUCAAAUGGACAACUGUCCUGUGUUGCUUUCCCUAGGCCUUCAGCAGCCAUAUUGGCUCUCCCUGCCUCUGAGCUCUGGACUCUGUUUGAAUAUUCCAAGUAGUAUAUGGACAGUCCAGGGCUUAUGCCCAGCAGCCCACUGGAGGCAUUCUUCAGGCUCCUUUAAGGCAGGUGCAUUGAUAGUUCCAUUAGUGUGACCCUUGCAUUGGCACCCCUCCAGCCUGGAGGCCAGGCUUCCAGCAACUUCCUUCUGCCCUAGAGCAAGCCACGAGCCCCAGAGCAGUAGCAGGAGACUUGAAAAGUAGAGUGACAAAAACAAGCACUUAAUUAAAUUAUAAAAUUUAACUUUA